AUGACGCGCCGGGCAGCGGCCUCACUUAACAAGUCGCUCACUGGGUUCCUCGCGCACGAAGAUCCGGAGAAGCUCCUGUCGCUCUUCGCAGCCAAGGUCAGGCAGUGCAGGGGCCUUGGCUCUGUUGAUUUCGCGUGCGCCUUGCGCGAGUGCAGGGGCAACGGCAAGCGCUGGCCGCUCGUUCCGGAGAUCCAUGCGAAGGCGAUCACAUGUGGGCUCGGCGGAGACCGGAUCGCUGGCAACCUGCUGAUUGAUUUGUACGCGAAAAAGGGGCUUGUGCAGCGGGCGAGGCAUGUGUUUGAGCAGCUAUCUGCCAGGGACAAUGUUUCUUGGGUUGCAAUGUUGUCAGGGUAUGCAAAGAAUGGUCUUGGAGAAGAAGCUGUCGGGCUAUACCACCAGAUGCAUCGCUCCGGUGUUGUUCCUACGCCUUACGUUCUGUCUAGUGUACUCAGUGCUUGCACUAAAGCUGCGCUUUUUGAGCAAGGACGGUUGGUGCAUGUCCAAGUUUACAAGCAAGGGUUGUGCUCUGAAACGGUUGUGGGGAAUGCACUUAUUGCGCUGUACUUGCGGUUCAGAUCUUUUAGUCUGGCGGAAAGAGUAUUUUCUGAGAUGCCGUACUGCGAUAGAGUAACGUUCAAUACACUGAUCUCGCGACAUGCUCAGUGUGGAAAUGGUGAGAGUGCUUUGGAGAUAUUUGAAGAGAUGCGCUUGUCAGGCUGGACGCCUGAUUGUGUAACCAUUGCUAGUCUCCUUGUAGCUUGUGCCUCUACUGGUGAUCUGAAUAAGGGCAAGCAGCUCCAUUCUUAUUUGCUAAAAGCAGGCAUGUCUCCAGAUUACAUAAUUGAAGGUUCGCUUCUUGAUCUCUAUGUGAAAUGUGGUGAUAUUGUGGAUGCGCUCAAGAUCUUCAAAUCGGGUGAUAGGACAAAUGUAGUGCUAUGGAAUUUGAUGCUUGUUGCAUAUGGGCAGGUUAGUGAUCUAGCAAAAUCAUUUGACCUCUUUUGUCAAAUGGUAGCUGCAGGGGUACGCCCUAACCAAUUCACAUACCCAUGCUUGUUAAGGACUUGCACUUACGCUGGAGAAAUUAACCUUGGAGAGCAGAUUCAUUCACUAAGCAUAAAGACUGGCUUUGAGUCUGAUAUGUAUGUCAGUGGUGUACUGAUAGAUAUGUAUUCUAAAUACGGGUGGCUUGAUAAAGCUCAAAGAAUUCUUGAAAUACUUGAAGCAAAAGAUGUGGUCUCCUGGACAUCGAUGAUUGCUGGAUACGUGCAACAUGAGUUUUGCAAAGAGGCCCUUGAAACAUUCAAAGAUAUGCAGCUAUUUGGAAUUUGGCCUGAUAACAUAGGGCUAGCAAGUGCUAUAAGUGCUUGUGCUGGAAUUAAAGCGAUGCGUCAGGGUCUGCAGAUUCAUUCUCGGGUUUAUGUGUCUGGUUAUUCAGCAGAUGUCUCUAUUUGGAAUGCGCUGGUAAACCUUUAUGCACGAUGUGGAAGAAGCAAAGAAGCUUUCUCUUUAUUUGAGGCAGUUGAACAUAAAGACAAGAUAACAUGGAAUGGACUGGUAUCUGGUUUUGCACAAAGUGGUCUAUAUGAAGAGGCCCUUGAGGUAUUUAUUAAGAUGUAUCAAGCAGGUGUCAAGUAUAACGUGUUCACCUUUGUAUCCUCUAUUAGUGCAUCAGCUAACCUUGCAGAUAUAAAACAAGGAAAGCAAAUACAUGCUACAGUUACUAAAACAGGUUACACCUCUGAAACUGAAGUUGCCAAUGCGUUGAUUUCACUGUAUGGGAAAUGUGGCAGCAUUGAAGAUGCCAAGAUGCAGUUCUUUGAAAUGCCCGAAAGGAACGAUGUGUCAUGGAAUACUAUUAUUACAAGUUGCUCACAACAUGGACGUGGCCUAGAGGCUUUGGAUCUAUUUGAUCAAAUGAAGCAAGAAGGUCUAAAACCAAAUGAUGUGACCUUCAUAGGCGUUUUAGCUGCUUGCAGUCAUGUGGGUCUGGUAGAGGAGGGUCUUGGUUACUUCGAAUCCAUGUCUAGUGAGCAUGGAAUCCAUCCAAGGCCUGAUCAUUAUGCUUGUGUUGUAGACAUUCUUGGACGAGCUGGGCAACUUGACCGGGCAAGGAAAUUUGUUGAGGAAAUGCCUGUAUCUGCUAAUGCAAUGGUUUGGAGAACCCUUCUCAGUGCUUGUAGAGUGCACAAAAACAUCGAAAUUGGAGAGCUUGCAGCCAAGUGUCUACUGGAGUUAGAGCCUCAUGAUUCAGCAUCAUAUGUCCUCCUUUCAAAUGCAUAUGCUGUUACUGGGAAAUGGGCUUACAGGGAUCACGUCAGAAAGAUGAUGAAAGACAGAGGAGUCAGAAAAGAGCCCGGUCGUAGCUGGAUUGAAGUAAAGAACGUGGUUCAUGCUUUCUUUGUUGGUGAUUGGUUGCACCCAUUGGCCCAUCAGAUUUACAAAUAUUUGGCUGACCUAGAUGAUAGGUUAACCAAAAUAGGGUACAUACAAGGGAACUAUUUUCUUUUCCAAGAAAAAGAGAAAGAACAAAAGGACCCCACUGCUUUUGUCCAUAGCGAGAAGUUAGCUGUGGCCUUUGGAUUGAUGAGUUUGCCUCCUUCUAUGCCCCUUAGAGUCAUUAAGAAUCUCCGUGUCUGCAACGAUUGCCACACUUGGAUGAAGUUUACCUCUGAAGUCAUGAGAAGAGAAAUUGUAUUGCGAGAUGUGUAUAGAUUUCACCAUUUUAACAAUGGCAAUUGUUCAUGUGGAGACUUCUGGUGA
rnacentral:rRNA from 1 species